UGGAAGCAUUUGAAGACUGUUACACACUUCUCUCAUGGAUCUGAUGCCAAAUUUGGUAGUUCCUUCUGAGAAACUCUCAGCGGGGCCCUCAACUUACCAUGUGUUUGCUACCAGCAUAUAGCAAAUUGGGACCAGAAUUUCUGUUGCUGAGUAAGGUGGUUGUUGAAGGCUGAUGAAGCUGAUGAUGCCUUCAGAAAUUGUAGGUGCCCCAUCGCUGGAAGCUUUUAAGAAGAAACUAGACAGCCACUUGUCUGAAAUGGUGUAAGGUCUCCUACUUGAGCUGGGGGUUGGACUACACGUUCUCCAAGGUCCCUUCUAACUCUAUUAUUCUAUGCUCUAUAUGAGAUUGGUGCUUAUUCCAGAAUUCGUCUGAAGAUGGCAAUAUGCUACUUUUAAGAAUGAGCAAGGGAAGCACACCUGGCUGUUUUCCAUUACCUCCCACUAUCCUUGCUUCCAGCAGCUACAGUCUGAAGCAGCUUCCUCAUUCCAGCUAAGAACAGGACCAGCCCCUACUGAUUUGUCAUCUGUAGUAAGAAGAGGAUCAGAUUCUUUUUUUGUAUUUAACUUCCUAAUUUUUCAACAUGGUUUUGAAAGGAUGCAUCUGUACUGCUGAAUUUCUAACAUUUUGCAAGAGUUCAGAUUUCAUUGCAACAUUGUCUUAAUUGGAUUUCAUCACUUGGCCCAAGACCAUUGAUAACUUUUGAAAAAAAACUCUGCCUCCCCCAAACUUCUGAAAGUGCAGAAAAUGCACUAGGCUUAUGGCAAAGACAAUGGAGAUGAUUUCAGGUGAUUCUGUAAGCUCCUGGCAAGAUUUUGGUGACCACAGAUAAUGUAUAUACAACCAAACUGCAGUGUUGAUCUAAUCAUCACUGAAGCAUUAAUAUCAUAUGAUAUCAUCUUUAAAGAACUACAUGGCUAGGUGAGAGUAUUCUGAUGCUUCCAAUUCUGGAAACCCAUUCAUUGGGUAGCCUAGCUGUUGUAUUUUCCCUGAUACAACAGCUAAAACAGCUUUAAAAUAUGUCAUGCAGGCUUGUUCUGUAGUGGCUCCUCAGAUUUUAUCUGGGAAACACUUGUGUGCACACUCCAGCUUUCUGACUGACUGAUUGAACAGUUACGCUGUCAACUACUGAAUUUUCUGAUGGUUUAUUGUAAAACCUGCUCAUAUUAAAGUGAAAAUUAAGAUCAAAAUUAAAUUGAACAUCAGUCAAAAUCCCGUUUUAGAAGACACAUUGUUCUGAAUGCUUUUAAAAACCUGACAAAAAGUUUAAUCCCUUCAAUUCUUCAGGAGCAUAUCCUUGAUUGCAAGAGGAGAUUUCUAGGCACUCACAAAACCAUAAAUAAAUGUCCCAAAGAUUUCAGUUUUGGGGUGGAGGGAUCAGAAAUGAUUUAGAACAGGGGUGUCAAAGAGCUGGCCCGUGGGCCGGAUGCGUCAUACGGAAACCGCGCCCACCCCAUUGCCGGCAAUGGCAAAACCGUCCCAAUACGUUGCACAACAUCACAUGACGUCACCAGUUUGACACGUCUGAUUUAGAAGAAUGUAUAUAGCACUGUACCAAGAAAAAAAAAUAAUUGGCAGCAAAUAUGAUGCUUUCAGCAGAAGAGUGCUUUGGUUUUCUUGAUACCAACCUGACUGUGGUAUACUUUAUAUUAACUGAAGACUAGACCCCACUAAUUCCAGGUAAAGCACCCCAAGCAAUGUAACUAACCCUCCUGGGAAAAUUUUGCAAGGUCCCAAAUGAUUAGUUUUGUGCCCAGGCUUGAGGUUCCAGAAAAGUGCCUAUCUAUUCAUUUCGUUGAUGGUUAUUUUAUUAUGUUCGGCUGCUAUGGAUUUUUAUUUUAUAUUAAGCCUUUUACUUGUUUGACCUGUUUCAUUAUAAGCUGCCCAGCUUAGGCGUGAAAACCAACUGGGUGACUUUGGGCCAAUCACCAGCAGACUGCUGUGAGAUGGGCAGCUAUAUAAAUAAAAUAAAUCUGAUCAAAACGUCAUCCCAUUCAGCAUUAGCUGAAUUUAAUACUCUCAUUUAAUACCAACUUGAUAGUACAUCAUGAGAACUGUAGGAGACAGAAGGUCUAAUAAAGCUCAUCUGAAAAAAAACUUUUCAAAUUUUAGUAUUCUAAACUUGAGUCAUCAGCUACAUUGUUUGAAUUACGGCUUUCAGGACAGCAGAUGAUUAGAUUGACUUAGGCUAUGUAAAUGGACUGUAAUCCUGCAAAAUUUAGUGGUAAAUAAAAUCCAGAUUUCUUCAGAAGUAUUGUGGCCCAGUGGCUCUCAGAUCUCAUAUAAUAAGAGGGCCUUCAGUGCCGUCCCCAUGCUCAGUUAUCAACUAUCUUUUAUUUAUCUUUUUAUUUAUAAGCAGUUCAUGAUCUUUAAGUUGGGUGUAGUUAUCUAGGUUUCCAAGAGAUGGCAGAGUUCAAUCAGCAUAAGAUUUCAGACUACAAGAGAAAAUUAAUGAUGACCCACAGAAUAAUUUUACUACAUUAGAAUUUCAAAGCUGAAGUGAAUACUUUAGUAAACAUAUAGUAAAAUAUCAUAUUGUAUACUGAGAAAAGUGAAACGUAGGAUUAGGAAAACAUUCUAAACGUAGGUUAUUGCAAGAAAGAUAUAUACACAUAAAAGUACACUCCUUAUUUAGGCAUUACUGUAUAUUUGCAACAGCUUCAAACCCUGAAAAGAUGCAGUUCUUAGAUGCUACAAUUUUCAAGUUUCUUAAGCCUCAAAUAUCUUGAAUAAUAAUAAAUGAGGUUUUUAUUUAUUAUUUGUCACAUUGAUAACCUGCUCGUGCACAGAAAAACUAGUACAGUAGUACUGAGGACAAAUAGUCCAUAUAUGAAUCUUGAUUUUACCAGAUACCUUCUCAGCAAACUAUGUUUGCUUCUGAUAUGAAAGAGUUGGCCACCUGAAGUCCCAGGCCACAGCAGCUUCUAUCUGCGUCAGCAAAUGUGGAUUUUCUGCCAUUUUCAAUACCAGCACCCUCUUUAUCUCCAUUCUCAGAUAAAAUUGCUUUGUAAUACCUUUGAAAAUUCUUCUCUCACUUGAUCAUAUCAUUUCAAUUUCUUGCCAUUCUGAAAGGCAAAACAUGAUGGCUUUGUAUAAGCCUAAAAGAAGUUAUCAUAGUUUAAAAUGCAAAGAAAAAAAUUACUUCCUCUUCUAACCCAAUAUAAUUGAUUUUGUUAGAGGAGAAUAUUUGGACUGAAGUGAGGGGUCCUGCCACAUUAUAUAAAUAGCAAUUAUGAGGGGUCCUUGGCGCUCUCACAUUGUUUCUCAGGACUACAUAUAGUCCCUGUUUUAUUUUUUGUUUUAAAUGUGUUGCAUCCAUCUGGGUUCUUUACAAAAUUCAGUUGUUGAAAAUUAGAAGUGGGAUUUUUUUAAUUUUUGAGAAAGUAUAGUGUAAUCCUCAACAUAAACUUGAUGCACACUAAAACAAGAUAAAACAAAAACUUUAUAUGCCUGUCCCUUUAAACAAUUGGUGGAAAGAAAUGAAAAAAAAAUCAUGCUGGUCACAUUUUGCAUUAUCAUCCCACCAACUGUGAUGUUCACUCGCAUUAAAAUUAUAAGUAGCGUUCCUGAGCCAUCAAAACGUUGUCCAUCCAAUUGUCUUGAAGUACAAGAGCAUUAUUUAAAACCAUAAUGAUGCUUGUUUUUCAUUUAGCAUAGUGUGUGGAACAUGGUUUGCCAUUUGUUUUAUAGGAAGCUAAUGACUUGUGGUUUAUUUUUUAAAAAAUAAUGGUUCAAGAAACAAUGUCUUACUGUUGUGUGAGAAUUCAGCAACUUAUGGGAUAGAUUAACAUUGUCCAUUGCAGGAUGCGACAGUGACCAGAUGAUGUCAGAGAAAACCUACUUUUGACCAAGAAUUCUCAUUCUCUGAAGCAUUUUUUCUCAUUUGUGAUUAAUUUGAGUUUAGAAAUUUGAAGUUCUGUCGUCACCAAAAUAUCUAAUGUAUAUUCCCAAUUUACCACUGAUUGUUAUGUACAGCAUUAGGCAGGAAGUUUGGGGUUGAGUGAUAUAUAAUCAAACAAUGCAUACUCUUUAAUAAUAGUCAUAAAAAGAUCAGAAUUGCUAUUAAAAUUAAUCUGAUGCUGACUGGUUGUUUAUAAGAAAGAAUAAGCACUUUGUAAUUGCAUCAAUAUUUAUGCAAUUUACUUAAAGCACAGCUAUGAAAACAGAUUUGGAAAUGAGUAGGGUAUAUUUAUUACUAAUUAAGUUGUUCUCUGAUGUUUGGGGUUGAUUUAACUUUCUUAGGUUCAGAUUACAUUUCUACAAGCAUUUCUGAGUUGAAUUUACUGUUAAAAGAAAUGAUUAAACAGAAGGUUAAGAAAUUUGCGAAUAUUCUGAAUAAAAAUUAUAUUAC